GACUGGAAACGGCGUGCAGAUCCUAAAACGAGGGUUCCACAGAGGGCCACGAGGGGCAGGAGAGAGUCCCCGGAGAACUCUAGCUCCCCGACACGGCUACCUCUUGGCAAACGAGCGAGAAUUGGGGCGCAGAGCCUUGGGAGGGCCGUUCCCUCGGCGGGAGCGGCCCGAGCACAGCCUCACAGCAGAUGCGAGCGCGGCGGGCGCUUUGGUGACGAAGUAGCGGGACCUGCAGGAGGCAGAGGCCUGGUGGGGCCGUGGACGCCACGCCGAGCUGCCCAGACCCUUCCAGAAGACAGUGGGGACUAUUCAACGGUUUCCAGCAGAAACUAAGCCAGGUGUUCGUUUUACGGAGAUUGCUCGGCUGCAGGGUGGAGGCUGGAUGAGAACAGGCGUCCUCUCAGGUAGGCGCUCGUGGUGGUAACGCUGCCCAGGAGGAGGGCACGGGUUCCGGGAAGACUUGCGAGGUUAAACCGGCAGCUCCGGAGAACUGAGCGCAAGAGGUCGGUGACACAGAGAGGAGUCCGGGAGGCCGCAUGUUUCAGGCUGAAGUCACUUGGCGGGGACGUUUAUUGAGAUGCGAAACACAGGAAGGGAUAGAGGCUGCGCAGAGGGAAAAGGCGAUGGACUCGGUUUUGGAAACGCUGAUGUGAAGUCCCUACGAUGAAAAAAGAAAUCUUCCGAUUUCUCCCUUUGAAGUCUUUGCUUCUUCCGUUGCAAAGAACACAGCCUAUGACAUCAGGUUGAAACCAAGAAUGUAGUUCUCUGAAAAUACUGUGUGUGGGGGAGGGAGUUUAUCUUGUCUCAUUCCUUACAAGGAUACUUUGCUCUCCGACACCUUAGCUCCCUGAAAGUUUCCUAGAUCGUCCAUCUUUUCCUCAUUUUUUCGACUGCAAGCAAUGAACUGUUAAUUUUUUACAGUUUGGUUUUACAGCCACACACUUUAUUCUUCUUUGUCAAGUUUAAAGUAUUCUAGGGCUUGUGCCUUCCCACAUAAAAUUUAGAAUAAACUUGUCUGUUUCUACAAAAAGCCAUGUUGGUAUUUCGAGAGGAAUUGCAAUCAACCUAUGGAUCAAAUUGAGAAUUGUAUCCUUAUUAUGUUGAAUCUUCCAACCCACGAACAUGGUAUGUCUGUCUAUUUAAAUAGUUUUUUUUUUUUCACUUCUUUCAUCAGAAUUGUGUGAUUUUUUCAACAUCAGAUCCUAUCACGUUUUGUUAGGUUUAUACUUAAAUAUUUCCUUUGCUCUCAAGAGAUUUAAACUGUUAUUAUUUUUAUUUCAGUUUUUACAUGUUUGUUGUUAGCAUACAGAAAUGUGAUUGUGUUUCUCAUGUUGAUCUCAUAUCCUGUGACCUUGGCAAACUCACCUAUUAAUUUUAAGAGGUUAUUUGUGUAUUACUUGGCAUUUUCCAUGUAGAUAAUCAUGUCAUCUGCAAAUAUGGAGAGUUUUAUUUCUACCUUUCCA
ensembl:lncRNA novel transcript, antisense to GLB1L3